AUCUACAGCCACCCUGUAUGUGCCCGAUCUUGUCUGAUCUCGGAAGCUACGCAGGGUUGGGCCUGGUUAGUACUUGGAUGGGAGACCACCUAGGAAUACCAGGUGCUGUAGGCA
rnacentral:rRNA from 1 species